UCAGCCUCCUGGCUAAUCAGAAUAUCUGUCAUCCAUGGCAGGUGACAGAUAUCUUGGAUGACAGACAUUCCUAGCUCAAGCCAUUAUGAAGAAGUGGCCAUCAGAAGAACGGAUGAAAGAGGGGUCAGGUGUCUUUAAGUCUUCUAAGGAAAAGCUAUUUCUUCUUUAUCUGGGAUCUUCAACACUUGACAUAAUCUCUUGAUACAGAUUUAUCCUUCCUCAUUGGAUAGCAUCAUGGCGUGCAGGCAAUCUCCCUAUUGGGAGAGAGGCUGUUAGGUGGGGAGCCCAGCAUCCUGAGCAACUUUUUCUUCUCUCUGUUGCAUGAUUUUAUAGCAAGGAAAGAUGUUUAGGCUGCUUUUUCGGGUUGUAAUGCAGUGUACAAAAAUAUAAACGUGGAUAGAUUUCGUUUCCAAAAGAGUGAA